rnacentral:lncRNA from 1 species
CCAACAAAUAAAAACACUCACGUAGAGCUGGAAAUAGGGAAAAGGGAUAGCCACAACCGGCAUAGGCAUAGGCAUGGAAGGCAUCAGGAUUAUAAAGGUAGAAUGAACCUGUUUGUCGAGACAAACGUUGUUUAUACCUCCGGGCUGUUUAGGCAUAGGUAGUUUCUUCUGCCUAUGCUGCGCGAGCUGCAGGUGUGAGGGAAAUGCUCAGCAACAAUGCGAGCAAACUCCCCUUCUUUAAACUUUGCUGAAUGAUGCCUAGAGUUUCGCAUCAUUAGCAGCAGACCCCCCGGGCUGUUCAUGUGGGUCAGACCCUUCUUGCCCUUUCUGUAUCUGAAUGUUUCAUUCAGGUACCCAUGGUCAUUCUCUUCCAGCUCCAGCAGUGUGUCGUACAUAGAUGAGAAAGCAGAAGCACUCUGGUGUUCGUCCAUCAGAUUGAUAUGAUAUUUGAUUGUUUCCGAGACUUUGCACCAUUUCAUUUCUUACCGCUGUCGCUUGUGCUUUCCGUAGACCACUGCGCUCUCUUCUUCUUGUGUUCCCAGAGAUGAAUGACAAAGUACGUAGAACGUGGUAUAUACGUCAUCAACGAAAACAAGCGUUUAUUUCUCCUCGUUUCGUUUCGAGACUUGCAUCAAAAAUGCUCUAUGCAACAUUUCAUCUCCUCGUUUCUCCUUUUAUUAAUUCCGCCCCAAGUAAAAAACUCGUUUCCUUUUUCUUUUUCUUCCUUCCUUUCCUCGAUUCGGUCCACGACAUGAGCCAAAUCUUCUUGCGGGUUCUCGA